GUGGGUUUAGCUCAGUAGUCGAGUGUGUGCUUAGCAUGCACAAGGUCCUGGAUUCAACUCCCAGUAUCUCCA
rnacentral:tRNA from 1 species